rnacentral:rRNA from 1 species
UACGUAGGGUGCAAGCGUUAAUCGGAAUUACUGGGCGUAAGCGUGACGCAGGCGGUUAUGUAAGACAGAUGUGAAAUCCCCGGGCUCAACCCUGGGAACUGCAUUUGUGACUGCAUAGCUAGAGUACGGUAGAGGGGGGAUGGAAUUCCGCGUGUAGCAGUGAAAUGCGUAGAUAUGCGGAGGAACACCGAUGGCGAAGGCAAUCCCCUGGACCUGUACUGACGCUCAUGCACGAAAGCG